rnacentral:rRNA from 1 species
UGGGGAAUUUUGGACAAUGGGGGCAACCCUGAUCCAGCCAUUCCGCGUGAGUGAAGAAGGCCUUCGGGUUGUAAAGCUCUUUCGGCAGGAACGAAACGGCGGGCUCUAACAUAGCCUGUCAAUGACGGUACCUGAAGAAGAAGCACCGGCUAACUACGUGCCAGCAGCCGCGGUAAUACGUAGGGUGCGAGCGUUAAUCGGAAUUACUGGGCGUAAAGCGUGCGCAGGCGGCUUUGUAAGACAGGUGUGAAAUCCCCGGGCUUAACCUGGGAACUGCGCUUGUGACUGCAAGGCUCGAGUGCGGCAGAGGGGGGUGGAAUUCCACGUGUAGCAGUGAAAUGCGUAGAGAUGUGGAGGAACACCGAUGGCGAAGGCAGCCCCCUGGGUCGACACUGACGCUCAUGCACGAAAGCGUGGGUAGCAAACAGG